AAAGGAAUAGACGGGAGCCCGCACAAGCAGUGGAGUAUGUGGUUUAAUUCGACGCAACGCGAAGAACCUUACCAGGAUUUGACAUCCCCUGACCACGGCGUAAUGGCCGGUCUCGGACUUCGGUCUGACAGGGUGACAGGUGGUGCAUGGUUGUCGUCAGCUCGUGUCGUGAGAUGUUGGGUUAAGUCCCGCAACGAGCGCAACCCUUACGGUUAGUUGCUACGCAAGAGCACUCUAGCCGGACUGCCGUUGACAAAACGGAGGAAGGUGGGGAUGACGUCAAAUCAUCAUGCCCCUUAUAUUCUGGGCUACACACGUACUACAAUGGCGAGAACAAAGGGAAGCAAUACCGCGAGGUGGAGCAAAUCUCAUAAAAAUCGUCCCAGUUCGGAUAGCAGGCUGCAACCCGCCUGCUUGAAGUUGGAAUUGCUAGUAAUCGCGGGUCAGCAUACCGCGGUGAAUACGUUCCCGGGCUUUGUACACACCGCCCGU
rnacentral:rRNA from 1 species